UACGAAGGGGGCUAGCGUUGUUCGGAAUUACUGGGCGUAAAGUGCGCGCAGGCGGCUAUCCAAGUCAGUGGUGAAAGCCCGGAGCUCAACUCCGGAACUGCCAUUGAAACUGUUUAGCUUGAGGAUGAGAGAGGUGAGUGGAAUUCCCAGUGUAGAGGUGAAAUUCGUAGAUAUUGGGAAGAACACCGGUGGCGAAGGCGGCUCACUGGCUCAUUACUGACGCUCAGGCGCGAUAGCGUGGGGAUCAAACAGG
rnacentral:rRNA from 1 species